rnacentral:rRNA from 1 species
CAGUAGCCGCGGUAAAACGGGGGGGGCAAGUGUUAUUCGGAAUGACUGGGCGUAAAGGGCACGUAGGCGGUGAAAAGGGUGGAAAGUGAAAGUCGCCAAAACACUGGCGGGGUGCUUUCUUGACCAUUUCACUUGAGUGAGAUAAGGGAGAGUGGAAUUUCGUGUGGAGGGAUCAAAUCCUAAGAUAUACGAAGGAACGCCAACCGCGAAGGCGGCUCUUUGGGUCCCCACUGACACUGGGGUGCGAAAGCAUGGGGAGCAAACAAGAUCAGAUACCCCCGUAGUCCCUGUCUCUUAUACA